AAAAGUCGUAACAAGGUUUCCGUAGGUGAACCUGCGGAAGGAUCAUUAUUGUAAAACCGAGGUGCGGAGGGCUGUCGCUGACCUUUUGGUCGUGCACGCCCGAAGCGCUCUCACACAAAUCCAUCUCACCCCUUUGUGCACCACCGCGUGGGUCCCUCUCUGGCUUGUCCCGAGGGGGGCUUGCGUUUUCACACAAACUUGAAGUAGUGUAGAAUGUCUCCUUUUGCGAUAACACGCAAUCAAUACAACUUUCAACAACGGAUCUCUUGGCUCUCGCAUCGAUGAAGAACGCAGCGAAAUGCGAUACGUAAUGUGAAUUGCAGAAUUCAGUGAAUCAUCGAAUCUUUGAACGCACCUUGCGCCCCUUGGCAUUCCGAGGGGCACACCCGUUUGAGUGUCGUGAAAUUCUCAAAACCCUUUCUUUGGUCUUUUGAUCGGGGAAAGGAUUUUGGACUUGGAGGCCUUUUGCUGGUUUCACCUUGAAGCGAGCUCCUCCCAAAUGAAUUAGUGGGGUCUGCUUUGCUGAUCCUUGGCGUGAUAAGUCGUUUCUACGUCUUGGGUUUUGGCACUGUACACCUGCUUCUAACCGUCUCAUUGACAACGAUGGUGUUCCGGUCACCGCCGAUUCGUCGGUGGGAGGCUUGACCCACAAAAUGAACCUUUGACCUCAAAUCGGGUGAGACUACCCGCUGAACUUAAGCAUAUCAAUAAGCGGAGGAAAAGAAACUAACAAGGAUUCCCCUAGUAACUGCGAGUGAAGCGGGAAAAGCUCAAAUUUAAAAUCUGGUGGCGUUUGGUCAUCCGAGUGUAAUU
rnacentral:rRNA from 1 species